ACGGGGGCAACCCUGGUGGCGAGUGGCGAACGGGUGAGUAAUAUAUCGGAACAUAUCCGGAAGUGGGGGAUAACGUACCGAAAGGUACGCUAAUACCGCAUAUGCCCUGAGGGGGAAAGGAGGGGAUCGCAAGACCUUUCGCUUUCGGAGUGGCCGAUAUCGGAUUAGCUAGUUGGUGAGGUAAAGGCUCACCAAGGCGACGAUCCGUAGCUGGUCUGAGAGGACGACCAGCCACACUGGAACUGAGACACGGUCCAGACUCCUACGGGAGGCAGCAGUGGGGAAUUUUGGACAAUGGGGGCAACCCUGAUCCAGCCAUGCCGCGUGAGUGAAGAAGGCCUUCGGGUUGUAAAGCUCUUUCAGACGGAAAGAAACGGUUACGGUUAAUACCCGUGACUAAUGACGGUACCGUCAGAAGAAGCACCGGCUAACUACGUGCCAGCAGCCGCGGUAAUACGUAGGGUGCGAGCGUUAAUCGGAAUUACUGGGCGUAAAGCGUGCGCAGGCGGUUUUGUAAGACAGACGUGAAAUCCCCGGGCUUAACCUGGGAACUGCGUUUGUGACUGCAAGACUAGAGUGCGGCAGAGGGGGGUAGAAUUCCACGUGUAGCAGUGAAAUGCGUAGAUAUGUGGAGGAAUACCGAUGGCGAA
rnacentral:rRNA from 1 species